rnacentral:rRNA from 1 species
UACAGAGGUCCCAAGCGUUGUUCGGAUUCACUGGGCGUAAAGGGUGCGUAGGUGGUGAGGUAAGUCGGAUGUGAAAGCUCGGAGCUCAACUCCGAAAUGGCAUUGGAAACUACCUUGCUCGAGGGUUGGAGGGGGGACUGGAAUUCUCGGUGUAGCAGUGAAAUGCGUAGAUAUCGAGAGGAACACCAGUGGCGAAGGCGAGUCCCUGGACAACUCCUGACACUGAGGCACGAAAGCUAGGGGAGCAAACGGG